rnacentral:rRNA from 1 species
AUACAGAGGGUGCGAGCGUUGUUCGGAAUUACUGGGCGUAAAGCGCGUGUAGGCGGCAUCGUAAGUCGGAUGUGAAAGCCCUCGGCUCAACCGAGGAAGUGCAUCCGAUACUGCGGAGCUUGAGUCCUGGAGGGGGUGGCGGAAUUCCCGGUGUAGAGGUGAAAUUCGUAGAUAUCGGGAGGAACACCUGUGGCGAAGGCGGCCACCUGGACAGGUACUGACGCUGAGACGCGAAAGCGUGGGUAGCAAACAGGAUUAGAUACCCCUGUAGUCC